UCACUGGUGGUCCAGUGGCUAAGACUCUGAGCUCCCAUCUCAAGGAGCCUAGGUUCAAUCCCUGGCUGGGGAC
rnacentral:tRNA from 1 species